rnacentral:rRNA from 1 species
UGGGGAAUAUUGGACAAUGGGCGCAAGCCUGAUCCAGCAAUACCGCGUGAGUGAUGAAGGUCUUCGGAUUGUAAAGCUCUUUUAGUAGGGAAGAUAAUGACGGUACCUACAGAAAAAGCACCGGCAAACUUCGUGCCAGCAGCCGCGGUAAUACGAAGGGUGCUAGCGUUGUUCGGAAUUAUUGGGCGUAAAGCGUACGUAGGCGGCUUGAUAAGUCGAGUGUGAAAGCCCAGAGCUCAACUUUGGAAUUGCAAUCGAAACUGUCUCGCUAGAGUUUGGUGGGGGAUGGCAGAAUUUCUAGUGUAGGGGUGAAAUCCGUAGAUAUUAGAAGGAAUACCAGUGGCGAAGGCGGCCAUCUAUGCCAAUACUGACGCUAAGGUACGAAAGCGUGGGGAGCAAACAGG